GCUUGGUCAGUUGAUUCCGGCGGAUUCACCUUCGCAUUUGUAAUGCGCAGGUCCCCGGUUCGAUCCCGGGAGGCGGCU
rnacentral:tRNA from 1 species